AUAAUUGAUAAUUGAUUACAUAAAUCACGUUAUUUUACGACAAAUAUAUUCUAAAUAAUUUUUAGAAACAUAUUAGUAUAAAGAUAAAGCUUGGUGUGUCCCAUGUCAGUGUAUGAACACUUUUAUAUAUAUAAAAUUAUGUACAUUAAGCACAAUUUUUAUUACAAUCGAGUGUUCCCACGUUCAUGUGGAUGUAUGGAUACUUUUGAACUGUUUUGAUUAUAUGUACACCAAAGACAACCCUCAUUAUAAUUGACUGAGAAUCUAUGCGAAAAUAACGUGCUGUAUUGUAGACCACCGAAUUUGGUCGUAUUCACAUAAACAAAAGAGAGGACAGUUGUUUCUUUUGUUCCAAUUUAAAAUUUUUUGGAACGGCGGAAAUGCCGCAUAAUUGAGACACGUACACCGAUG
rnacentral:lncRNA from 1 species